rnacentral:rRNA from 1 species
AUGUCGUUCCUCCCGAUCCCGCUGCCAAUCGUUGGAGACAUAGCCAGCAGGCUGAACGGCCAAGAGAAACCGCGUGGCGACGACACGACGUCGUCGGCGCCGGCGCCUGUCCUCGGAACCGUGGCCAGCAGGUGGCGCGAGCUCCACGGCGAGAACUCGUGGAAGGGCCUCCUGGACCCUCUGGACCCCCACCUUCGCUCCAGCAUCAUCUCCUACGGCGAGAUGGUGCAGGCCGCCUACGACGCCUUCAACACCGAGAGGCGCUCCCCGCACUGCGGCGCGUGCUUCUACGGCUACGAGGACCUGCUCGCCGGCGUGGGGGUGCCCCACCACGGCAACAACUACGAGGUCACCAAGUUCAUCUACGCCACCUCGUCGCUGCCACUCCCCAGCUCGUUCCUCCUGCUGCCGCUGCCGUCGCUGCCGGACGUCUGGAGCCGAGAGUCCAACUGGAUGGGGUACGUGGCCGUGGCCACGGACGAGGGCGCCGCCGCGCUCGGGAGGCGCGACAUCGUUGUGGCGUGGCGCGGCACCGUCCAGAACAUGGAGUGGGUCAACGACCUCGACUUCGCGCCCGUGCCCGCCGGGCCCGUGCUGGGCUCCGCGGCGAGCCAGCACCGCCUUGCCGUCGUGCACCAUGGGUUCCUGUCCAUGUACACGUCAAGCAACAAGAGCUCCGAGUUCACCAAGACCAGCGCCAGAGAUCAGGUUGUCAAGGAGGUCAGGAGGCUCGUGGAGCUGUACAAGAACGAGGAGGUCAGCAUCACCGUCUGCGGCCACAGCCUUGGCGCGUCGGUCGCCACCCUGAACGCCGUUGACCUGGUGUCUAGCGGCAUCAACAAACCCGAGGGAUCCACUAAGUCGUUCCCUGUGACUGCUAUCGUGUUCGCGAGCCCUCACGUCGGGUGCCGCUUCUUUAGGUCGGCGUUCAACUCAUUUCCAGACCUGAAGGCACUACAUGUGCAGAACGCUGGUGACGUCGUGCCCAUGUACCCACCUCUGGGAUACGUGGAUGUGGCCGUGGAGCUUACCAUAAGAACAAUUCGAUCUCCGUACAUCCGUAAGCCUGCCACGGUGGGAACACUCCACAAUCUCGAGUGCUACCUACACGGAGUGGCCGGGGAGCAGGGAAGUGCCGGAGGGUUCAAGCUAGAGGUGGAUCGUGACAUAGCGCUGGUGAACAAGGGUGCUGACGCUCUCACGGACGAGCACCCGGUGCCGGCGUGUUGGUGGGUCCCUAGACACAAGUUCAUGGUCAAGGGGGAAGAUGGGCGAUGGACGCUCCAGGACUUCAAGCACAUCUGA